UCAUCCCUGCCACAUCAGAGACCUUCCAACAACAGCUGCCUCCACCAUGAAGCUGGUGACGGUCCUCAUGCUGGCGGCCUUCCCGCUUUACUGCUAUGCAGGUUCUGGCUGCAGUGUUUACGAGGAUUUGGUUGAUCAGACAAUUGAUCCUACACAGUCCCCGGCUGAGUAUGUAGCAGCUUUUCAAGAGUUCAUAACAGAUAACGCCACUGCAAAGGCCGCAAUGGAAUUGAAGCAAUGUUAUCUCAACCAGUCAAAUGAAACUUUGGCCAAUUUUGAUCAGAUGAUGAGUCCAGAAAAUUCCAUUUGAGGAAGUUUCCACUCAUCUUAUUAAAAGAAUGGAAAAUACAACUUCAACUGAAUCAAAAUUUGUUAGUCAAGCAAUAUUUGAAAGUGUUUGGUGUGCUGCGUUUUAACUUUCCACAAGAACUGGCUCAGAGAACUACAUAGAAUGGUCAGAAACCCACUGCCGAUUGCUAAAAACCACAGCUUUUCUUUCUUUUAUGUCUUUGCUCUGCAAAUUGCCGGACAAUUGUUGAAACCUCAUUUACAUUUUCAUUUCAAUAAAGUAUCUGCAGCCCUAAAGUU